rnacentral:rRNA from 1 species
CGCCCGGGCUUCGGCCUGGUUAUUCAUAACCCUUUGUUGUCCGACUCUUUUGCCUCCGGGGCGACCCUGCCUUCGGGCGGGGGCUCCGGGUGGACACUUCAAACUCUUGCGUAACUUUGCAGUCUGAGUAAACUUAAUUAAUAAAUUAAAACUUUUAACAACGGAUCUCUUGGUUCUGGCAUCGAUGAAGAACGCAGCGAAAUGCGAUAAGUAAUGUGAAUUGCAGAAUUCAGUGAAUCAUCGAAUCUUUGAACGCACAUUGCGCCCCCUGGUAUUCCGGGGGGCAUGCCUGUUCGAGCGUCAUUUCACCACUCAAGCCUCGCUUGGUAUUGGGCAACGCGGUCCGCCGCGUGCCUCAAAUCGUCCGGCUGGGUCUUCUGUCCCCUAAGCGUUGUGGAAACUAUUCGCUAAAGGGUGUUCGGGAGGCUACGCCGUAAAACAACCCCAUUUCUAAGGUUGACCUCGGAUCAGGUAGGGAUACCCGCUGAACUUAAGCAUAU